rnacentral:rRNA from 1 species
GACGAACGCUGGCGGCGUGCUUAACACAUGCAAGUCGAACGGAAAGGCCCUGCUUUUGUGGGGUGCUCGAGUGGCGAACGGGUGAGUAACACGUGAGUAACCUGCCCUUGACUUUGGGAUAACUUCAGGAAACUGGGGCUAAUACCGGAUAGGAGCUCCUGCUGCAUGGUGGGGGUUGGAAAGUUUCGGCGGUUGGGGAUGGACUCGCGGCUUAUCAGCUUGUUGGUGGGGUAGUGGCUUACCAAGGCUUUGACGGGUAGCCGGCCUGAGAGGGUGACCGGCCACAUGGGGACUGAGAUACGGCCCAGACUCCUACGGGAGGCAGCAGUGGGGAAUAUGGCACAAUGGGCGGCAGCCUGAUGCAGCAACGCCGCGUGCGGGAUGACGGCCUUCGGGUUGUAAACCGCUUUCGCCUGUGACGAAGCGUGAGUGACGGUAAUGGGUAAAGAAGCACCGGCUAACUACGUG